rnacentral:tRNA from 1 species
AAUAAAGUGCCUGAUAAAAAGGAUUAUUCUGAUAGAGUAAAUAAUGUAGAAAUUCUAUCUUUAUUA